UACGUAGGGGGCAAGCGUUGUCCGGAAUUAUUGGGCGUAAAGAGCGCGCAGGCGGCUGGUCAAGUCCGAUGUGAAAGCUCCCGGCUUAACUGGGAAAUUGCAUCGGAAACUGAUCGGCUGGAAGGUGGGAGAGGGUAGCGGAAUUCCCGGUGUAGUGGUGAAAUGCGUAGAUAUCGGGAGGAACACCAGUGGCGAAGGCGGCGUCCUGGACUGGUACUGACGCUCAGGAGCGAAAGCGUGGGGAGCGAUCCGG
rnacentral:rRNA from 1 species